UCUUCCAGGCAGAAAAAACUGGAUGGCACACAUAAGGAGGGAAAACAAAACAAAAACUCAUAAUCCAUCUCUGGCUGAUGUUUCAUUUCCUGCAGAAAAUGAAGUAAUCUGACUGCAGGGAGGAGAUUAAAAAAGAUUGGGUCAGGUUUUAAUCCUUUGCCGGAGGGGGGCGAUGACGGAGGAUGGAGGCAGGUUUAUAGGGAGCAGCAACUGGAUGGAGCUGCAAAUUCCACUCAGGAAUAUUGUCUCCACUCACAGCUACAACAGGAGGUGCAACCAUGAAGCUAGUGUUGGCUGUUGCGGUCCUCCUGAUAACUUUGUCUGCAGUGGUGGCAGGUAAGACCUGGGGAAGGAGAGGAUGCUUUCACUGGCGGGAGAAAACAGGCCCCUUCCCCUUCAGUGUGAUGGAUUGCUAGUAAGGAACUCUUGGAGAGAGGGAGGGAGGGAGGGAGGGAGGGA